CAGGUUCCUGCCAGAGAGAAGAGUGUCUGCAAACCCCUGAGGCAAGAGGAGCCUGUGUCUUUGAAGGUCUGAACAAAGGCUCAUUCCACAGAGUCAGGAAAGCAGAGGGGGCAGUAUUUGGGGAAGAGGCCCAGGAGGAAGGGUAGGGGGGGCCAAGUUGGCCAGGCCCUUCUUGAUGCUGAAUGGCAGGAGGACUUUGAAGAAGUGACAGGGUCAGAGGUGCCAUCCAGAAAGAUCACCCUGAUCAGAGCUGGGAGAAUGGAGGUGCCGGGCAGGAGCAGAUGCCAGGGCCUGCUUGGAGGCAACUGGAAUACUCCAGGCUGUUUUUUUGGAGUCUCAACUGGCAAAUUUCUACAAAGUGCUCUUCUUCACAAGACUUCCUGUUACCUCAGGACCAGAGGCAGUAGACUGAACAAAAUGUUUUGCCGCCUUUAAUGUGUGUCUGGCACUGGCAUUGAUGAAGGCUUAGCUUCUGCACCUGUAACAUGAACAGAGAUAACCGCUGGUAAGAGUUUGGCUUAUAUUCUUCUACAUUUUUUUCCCCACAAGAAACUGAAAUUUGAAUUUUCUUCUACAAGUGAGAAAAAAAAAAAGUAAAAUCUCUAACUGUCUUAGUGAUGAUAAUUCUGAGAAGACAGGCCCAUUGAGCCAAGUAGGAGGAUAGGUUUCCUGAGGAUGGAGAUGCAGAAAUAGUUGACUUUGCCUUCACGAAGCAUCCUGACAUUUUUAGAUGUGGCUACACUCUGUGGGCCGGAAGUCGAAUUCCCUGGAGGGCUAGAGCUCUCAGUAUUUUGGACAUAUGUGAAGUCAGCACAGGGGGCAGGCGGUAAGUUAACUUGAAGAGAAUUCCAGUUACAAAUUUAGCUCAGCUUCUAAAAAACACUCCCAUCGAAGAGAGAUUCCUGGUUGCUGUGGAACUGCGUCCCCUGUGGGAUUUUCCUUGUGGAGUUAACUAGACACAGUUGUUACUAGGUAGCGGGACAACAGAUUUGCUUAAGAUCUCUUCGAUUUUGACAGUUUGAUGAUGGGUGACUUAUGUGGUAUUGUGGACAUCUGUUGGCUUUAUAUUUUGCCUGCCAAGCAUCCAUACUUUCUUUUUUCUGGUAUCCAUACUCAAUUUUUCUUCUGGUUCACCACCUAUACCGGGUUGAAUAAUGCCUCCCUCCCCACCCCAAUUCAUGUCUACUCGGAAGCUCAGCAUGUGACUUUAUUUGGAAAUAAGAGUCUUUGUGGAUAUAGCUAGGAUGAGGUCAUCCUGGAUUAGGGGGGGUCCUAAGUUCAAGGACUGGUGUUACCAUGAGAAGACACAGAGAAGGAAGGAGAGGCAGAGACUGGAAUGAAAUAACUGGAAGGGAAAGAACACGGAGGAUCGGGAUUGUCAGCGCCUCCAGGAGCUAGGAGAGAGGCCUGGAACGGGCUCUGCCUCAGAACCUCCAGCAGGAACCAACUCUUUGGACACCUUGAUGUUGGGCUUCUGGCCUCCAGGACUGGGAGAAGAUGCAUUUCUGUUGUUUAAGUCCUCCAGUUUGUGGUAUUUGUUAUGGCAGCCCUAGCAAAUUAAUAUACCUCCCAUUUACCCUGUCAAAAUGAUCCGGGGGCUAGUCUCUGUUGUGCUGGGCUCCUAUUAACUUCGGUAGGGAAGGCAUUAGGUUCAGGAGGAUGAGGAAGAGACCCAGAGUCCUCAAAUGAGACAUGGGGUUUUAUUAGCAGGAAGCUUACAUACACAGUGGUCCAGUGGUGGUGGGCUGGGCAGGAGAACCACAACUGCUUCCAAAAGCAUGUGGUUUGUACAGCAUUUUCACCUAGCACCCUCCCUGUAACAAUCUCCACCUGGCAACCCUCGUUUAACUCAAAACAAAGGGCCUCAAUGUCCUGCACGGGCCCUUUACGUUCCAUGCGUCAGGCUGGGG
rnacentral:lncRNA from 10 species